UACGAAGGGUGCAAGCGUUAUUCGGAAUUACUGGGCGUAAAGCGUGCGUAGGUGGUGAGUUAAGUCUGUCGUGAAAGCCCCGGGCUCAACCUGGGAAUGGCGAUGGAUACUGGCUCGCUAGAGUGCGGUAGAGGAGAGUGGAAUUCCCGGUGUAGCAGUGAAAUGCGUAGAGAUCGGGAGGAACAUCAGUUGCGAAGGCGGCUCUCUGGACCAGCACUGACACUGAGGCACGAAAGCGUGGGGAGCAAACAGG
rnacentral:rRNA from 1 species